GGAUCCUCUGAGUCAGAACUACUGAAGCUGCAAAAGAUGAAAUUGAGGGCAAUGGACAUCAAGGACACCCUAGACAGACUUGAAGAUUCCAUAGGAUACGUGCAAGAUAAUAUUUCCUUGGUAGCAGCCAAGCUUGCAAUCCAAUCUUUGGAUUCCCGGUUAUGAACGAAUUCCUGAACAGGUUUCUAUCUCUGGAACAUGAAAUUUGAAUGAAAUGCUGAACUAGGUUCAUGUUGUUAGCGCAUUAAAUUUGGUUGAAUGAAGAGAUGGUGUAUAGAAAUCAG
rnacentral:misc_RNA from 1 species